rnacentral:tRNA from 1 species
GCGCCUGUAGCUCAGGUGGAUAGAGCAACGGACUUCUAAUCCGUGGGUCGGGAGUUCGAAUCUCUCCAGGCGCGCCA